rnacentral:rRNA from 1 species
UGGGGAAUAUUGGACAAUGGGCGAAAGCCUGAUCCAGCCAUUCCGCGUGUGUGAAGAAGGUCUUCGGAUUGUAAAGCACUUUAAGUUGGGAGGAAGGGCAUUAACCUAAUACGUUAGUGUUUUGACGUUACCGACAGAAUAAGCACCGGCUAACUCUGUGCCAGCAGCCGCGGUAAUACAGAGGGUGCAAGCGUUAAUCGGAAUUACUGGGCGUAAAGCGCGCGUAGGUGGUUUGUUAAGUUGGAUGUGAAAUCCCCGGGCUCAACCUGGGAACUGCAUUCAAAACUGACUGACUAGAGUAUGGUAGAGGGUGGUGGAAUUUCCUGUGUAGCGGUGAAAUGCGUAGAUAUAGGAAGGAACACCAGUGGCGAAGGCGACCACCUGGACUAAUACUGACACUGAGGUGCGAAAGCGUGGGGAGCAAACA